rnacentral:rRNA from 1 species
GACGAACGCUGGCGGCGUGCCUAAUACAUGCCAGUUGAGCGAUGAAGACUGGUGCUUGCACCAAUUUGAAGAGCAGCGAACGGGUGAGUAACGCGUGGGGAAUCUGCCUUUGAGCGGGGGACAACAUUUGGAAACGAAUGCUAAUACCGCAUAACAACUUUAAACAUAAGUUUUAAGUUUGAAAGAUGCAAUUGCAUCACUCAAAGAUGAUCCCGCGUUGUAUUAGCUAGUUGGUGAGGUAAAGGCUCACCAAGGCGAUGAUACAUAGCCGACCUGAGAGGGUGAUCGGCCACAUUGGGACUGAGACACGGCCCAAACUCCUACGGGAGGCAGCAGUAGGGAAUCUUCGGCAAUGGACGAAAGUCUGACCGAGCAACGCCGCGUGAGUGAAGAAGGUUUUCGGAUCGUAAAACUCUGUUGGUAGAGAAGAACGUUGGUGAGAGUGGAAAGCUCAUCAAGUGACGGUAACUACCCAGAAAGGGACGGCUAACUACGUG